rnacentral:misc_RNA from 1 species
UGCAAUCCGUAAGGAAUCCACCACAACCGAUUCGAACGUCGUUCGCACGUAGCGUUGAACGCUUUGUUCCGAGGGGCAAAUAGAGAUCGAGGCCUCAUGCCCACAACAUGUUCCGCAUCCGAGAUUUCGAGCAUUACGCCCUGGGUGGGCUACACGAGCGUAUGCACACACACACACACACGAGAGUGCCAACCACAACGCAUGCUAUGAGUUCCAAUCCGCACCACAACACCGAUAGGCGAAGCAGAGCAAAAUGAAAAAAGGUACAAUUUAUCUAUCGUAAUGCCUCAAAGAUAGGUAUCGAGCACAGGAGGCCGCAAUCGGACGAGCUUGGAAGCCCUUGUGCCAAUGAUUGAAGAGACGCGGUUGGGA